rnacentral:rRNA from 1 species
CGACUCGCACUCUGGCAUGCUUUGGGGGAUUUAAUGGUGACUCGCACUCUAGUCCGCUCGCUCGCCGCCGCCGCCGUCACUUCGGAAGAGAAGAGUUGUGGGGUCGGGGGUUGGUCCCUAGGUGUCGGCCUCCGCCGCCUCACCUUAAGACUGUUCUCUACCUCCCCCCUGAGUCCUUCUUCUGCCUCUAGUUCAGGCCCUUCUACCUCCGGCCGGUCCCCUGCCUCUACCUUCCCCUCGAGUCCUUUCUCGUCCUCUCCUAGUCCUUCGAAGCCCUGGUUGAGUAGUUCUCAACACUUAGGAGGUGCCUGGGCCGCUGCGUUUCCUAUAAGAACCUAGUCGACCUAUAUGAGACCUCCCUCCUCAUGCGUGAGGCGUGCUUCUACUCAUUCAGGCCCUACCUCUAAGUCUCCCGAGGGCCAAGGCUAUGGCUAAGGCUAAGGCUAAGACCGUUACUCUACCCGUCAAGCCCCCACGUGGGUAUGGAGUAUUCCUACCUCACCUCUGACUCCUUCCUCUGCCUCUCCCUAAGGUCGUUCCCCUGGCUCUACCUCAGGCCGUUUCUCGUCCUUUACCUCCCCUUUGAGUCGUUCCUCGUGCUCUCUGAGUCCUUCCAAGCCAUGGUUGAGUUGUUCUCCACGCUGAGGUGGUUCCUGGGCCGCUGCGUUUCCUAUGAGAACUGAGCCGUCCUCUAUGAGACCUGGUUCCUCGUUCGUGAGGAGUGCCACUACUCCGUCAGCCCCUACCUCUAACUCUCCCUAGGGCUAAGGCUAAGGCCGUUACUCUACCCGUCUCUAAGCGGGGAGUAUUCGUACCUCACCCCUGAGUCGUUCCCCUGCCUCUCUCUACGGUCACCGUUCCUCUACCCAGUCUACCCAGUACUGCUGAACCAACAACGAGAAAGAUCGGUGGAACUCCACGAAUCCUCCCUCUAGAGCAAGGACUCCUGUCUCCAGUGCAGGGCCCCGUUACCCAACCGACCUUUACCUUUGUUCCGACUAGUUCUCGUGUAGUAGUACAGAUUGGAUAGGGAGCUACUGUGAGAUGAGUUCUUCUUCCCCCGCUUCCUCUUCUAGACUAGACCACCCCUCCCUGUUCCGGAACGAGCUCAACGACGACAAGUACCAGAACCUUGUUGUUUGCGUUCCCUUCUACGAGUUACCAUUUCUCCCCCGUCUCUCGAUAGACACUCCGGAUGUCGCCCGUCGCGGCAUCGCCGUGGUCGUCCGCAAACCAAAAUGCGUCGGCGUCCACGACCUGUCCUCGUCGCCUCGCGCAAACCGCCGUACGGCCUAGACGAGAACCAGGCGCACUCUUCCGACUGGUUCGUUCCCGUUCGUUUUCCUCUUACACUUGUUGCAUUACUACAAGCUGGUCCGGUGGAUGCUGUUCGACGAGUCACUCACUUACCCUACAUUUAUAGGCUUCUCUGUCCAUACGUAGAACCUGUGAAAGACCGUAUGCAAUGGUAACGACUCUUACUUCGAUAGCCUUCCCUCACAAUACUUAAAUACGACGACCAUACACACUUUCGUUAAGUGAAACUGAGCAGAUAACCCAAAGACAACGUUUAAUACAUGAGGGAGGCAAGGUAUAGUCGCUGCUCAUUAUACCUUACCUCCCUCUCAUCUUGACUUGAUGAGGGAGGCAGGGUAUUAUAUCCUGCAAAAAACUGUGAUGUGAUGUAAUACCCUGCCUCCCUCAUCAAACAAGCCUUAACUACAUUUUCGUAACAUACUAACUACGUUUCUUUUCUUUUCACUAAACGAUUCACUUUUUAGACAUCGUCGCCGAUCAAACAAACUGAACGGACACGUGACUCUCUCUGUCUUGACAAACCCAAAGACCUCCAAAUCGACGUACCUCGACAGUCACUAAAACGAUAUUUUACGUCACGUUUCACAAGGACACGUCCAGUAAAAGGAUAGCCAUUAAAAAUCUCUAACUCCUUACAACAGUGUAACUAAUUAGAACAACAGAGACGGGUCCCUGUCCCUCCCCCGAUUAAACUACUACCAAUCCUGCCGUUGCUUUAGAGCAUACGCGAUCUCUACCUGCCUUCCGACAUAAACUAGAACACCUCCCUCCCGAGGCCCGCCCUUAUGACUACCCACCUCGAAACAGCCACAGAACAUAAUAAAUAACGUCAUAUAUAGGCUCGAACAGCAAACCCAACGACAUCUUAAUUACACUACAACACCUCUCACGAUGAGCAGGAUCCAAAAGGAACAAAACAUAGGUGUGUCCACUACGGUGCGCCGUUCCAGGACGAAGAAACUCCUCAUCACAUAUAUCCUCUCCACGUAAAGCCUUAACUCCUUUCUAUACGAACAACGUCGACACAAAGUAUAUAGUCCGAUUACAUUUAAAACUUCAAAUAAUAGUCGU